AGUAUCCCUUCACCGUGAGGUAUUAGCUUGGCCAACAGUGAUGUCUGCUGGUUCUGCUGAUCCAAAGGAUGAGGGUCACCUUCCCUGUACUUUGAGGUCCUCGAACAUGCCAGCCAAGUGCCACAUCCCCAGUGCCUGGUCCUAGCCCCUGGACAGAUGCCAAACCUCAACCUGCUCCAAGGGCUAGGACAGUGUUCCAAGUGUCAGCUCCUUACCUGGUCCCUACUCACUCAGCCAGCCUGGGACCCCAGGCUCCACACUGGCUCCCGCUUCCCUGUGGGCUUCGUCUCCACUGUCCUCUGCUUCCCUGGGACAUUUGUUCUUUUCGGGUGUAGACUCCACCUUUCUCUAUCACCCUUCAGCCUAGCCUGUCCGCAGUCACCCGUCCCUGAGUACACUAAUGCCAAUCCAUCGGUUGGCCUGCUGCCCCGUAUCUUGCAGCUCUCAGCAACCUGGGCCUGAGGGACUGAUGGCAAAAGCUCUCCCAGCCCCAUCUUGUCCAUUGCUUAGUUUCUUCCCACUGGACACCAAUUAUCCUGAGGAAAGUUCUUUCCCCAGCUACCAAGACAUAAUGUGAGUGUCAACCAUACACUGGUUAGGCCCACCUAGUAGGGUGGCACACCCUUGUCACCUAGUAGGAUGACAGAAGUGGGACGCCUCUGAGAAGUAGUUAGGCCAGACUAGCCCACAUAACGAAUGAGUAUAGGUCCAGCUGAGACUACUUCCUGACAGACUGGCCCACAUAACGAAUGAAUAUCAGGUCCAGCUGAGGCUACAUCCUGAGGAUCUUACCUUAAAAAAGAAAAAAAUCACGAUUUAGCUCAGUGGUAGAGCGCUUACCUAGGAAGCGCAAGGCCCUGGGUUCGGUCCCCAGGUCCGCAAAAAAGAACCAAAAAAAAAAAAAAAAGAAAAAAAUCACACAGGUGAGCAGAUGUGGGGUUCAGGUGCCCAGCCAGCACUGUCGGAAAUGGACUUGUCACAGAGGAGGUACAUCUGUCCAUCUGUUCCAGGAACUGCCGAUGUGCACCCAUAGAGUCCGUUCCUCCCAGAUGCUGGCUCUGUCCAUGGGCGCCUUUUACUUAGGUGAGAUCUCAGAGUCCACAGUGUAGUGUGGGAUGGGGGAAGCGGCAAGAGAGGUGGGCUACCAUAGCUGUUGCAAUAAAAUACCUUGGCAAAAGCAA
rnacentral:lncRNA from 1 species